GGAGCAAUAUGCGAGUUAAUCGCAUAAUUGAUGCAGUCUUGGGAUUUUCUCUUCGCAGCAUGUUCUCGAACCAAAUUGAGCUUAAUUGGUGACCAGGGAGACUAGUUUGGAAGGUGUUCUAACCAAGGAUAAGCAGGAAUUUCAGUUAGAAAUUUAAUCCCGCAAGAAUUCGACGAUAAUAGCUUGUAUACAAGUAUUCUAAUGCCGUUUUGAUAUUGUUCGCAGCGAGAGUGCGAUCGACUGUAAUAACUGAGAUUUUUGAUUUAUUGAUUAAACCCUUUUGUUUGACGAUGUUCUUGUGUGUAAUAUAAUUUUAAGUGUACUCGUCAAAUUUCAGGAGAAAACGAGUUAAAACGGAGAAGUUACGUGACCCGGAAGUUUG
rnacentral:lncRNA from 1 species